CCUCAACUCUGAGUUGAUCUACUCAGAGAUAGAAAACUCUGAGUUUUCGGUUUCACAACGGCUGAUUUGAGUUGGGUUAAUCAACUCGGAGUAGUUUGACCCGGAGUUACGCGCGUGCACCGCAAGUCUGAAAAGACAGCAUCAAUGGAACCCCGAUUCGACGAGUCACCAUGGAAACGGGGAAGUGAAAGGCUGCGUUUUUGAACUGGAAGUUUUUAACGCGCUCAUAUGGCGAGUUUGAACACGUUUUUAGAAAGAAGUGCAACACCGCUGCAGCUGCAAAAGAGAGAGAGACGGCAUGGAGAACAGCCCGGAUCAAUGCGAUGAAGAGGAUGAAACUGUGUCUGCUGCCUUUACAGAGGGGGAUCCAGAAAGGCAUACAGAGAGCAUGGCUGGACAGCAGCAGAAUGGUCCCUCAUCUUCCACUGCACAGACUGACACAGUGAGAUGGAUGUUCAGGAAACACCAGAGCUUCAUUCUGUGGAAUUCAUGUGCAACUGUAUAAUUGAAUGUCCUCUAUGUAUU